AUUCCAGCUCCAAUAGCGUAUAUUAAAGUUGUUGCAGUUAAAAAGCUCGUAGUUGGAUUUCUGGCCGGGGCGACCGGUCGGCGCCCUAGCGGCGUGUGCACUGUCGUCGGCCCUGGCCAUCUGCGUUCGGAGGGUCGCUGGCAUUAAGUUGUCGGCGGCUUGACGGGCGCCGUUUACUGUGAAAAAAUUAGAGUGUUUAAAGCAGGCGAUCGCUGUGAAUACAUUAGCAUGGAAUAAUGAGAUAGGACUUUGGUACUAUUUUGUUGGUUUGCGCACCAAGGUAAUGAUUAAUAGGGAUAGUUGGGGGUAUUCAUAUUCAAUUGUCAGAGGUGAAAUUCUUGGAUUUAUGGAAGAUGAACUUAUGCGAAAGCAUUUACCAAGGAUGUUUUCAUCG
rnacentral:rRNA from 1 species